rnacentral:lncRNA from 1 species
AAAAAAAGCAGCAGCUCUUGAUUUUCCGGAAAAAAAAUAACGCACACACACUCACACGAUAAAAAUAAAAUAGUAGCCUAAAAUUGAUUUCUUUUUCGAUUUGGAUCAUAUACGUUCUCUUCAUCUCACAAAGUAAACAAAAUCUCGUUUUUAGUCCUAAAUUAAACACAAAGCAGCAGCGGAAAACAUAAUCUCAGAGAAUCGCCUCCCCCUCCUUUUUCUCGUUUCUCGCUCGUCGGAUUUGUCUCGCCGGAGAGCUGGUUAAAUCUGCUGAUGAACGCAGAUUCCCAACAGAUAUUUCGUUUGCAACAAUGAUCCGCAUCAUUCAUUGUUGAAGAAGAGUUGAGGUUCGCUCGAGAUUCCCCUAUGAUUCGAGAUCUCUGUUUAGUUUUCCGGUGAGCUUCGAAAUUGAAGUUUCGUUUGUCAGUUUCCAUCUGAUUCCGGGCUGCAAAUCAGUUAAGUUAUGAUUCACUUUAAGAGCUUCAUUUCCCAUCUUUUAUUUCUUGUACUUAAUGGAUCAUAAUUAAUUUCAUUUUUACAUGUGUUUAUAUGGUG